UACGUAGGUGGCAAGCGUUGUCCGGAUUUACUGGGCGUAAAGAGCGCGCAGGCGGUCGAUUUAGUCGCGUGUGAAAGCCCCCGGCUCAACUGGGGAGGGUCACGCGAUACUGAUCGACUCGAAGGCAGGAGAGGGUAGUGGAAUUCCCGGUGUAGUGGUGAAAUGCGUAGAUAUCGGGAGGAACACCAGUGGCGAAGGCGACUACCUGGCCUGUUUCUUGACGCUGAGGCGCGAAAGCUAGGGGAGCAAACGGG
rnacentral:rRNA from 1 species